AAAAAAGGUAAUUAUCGUAAUAAAAGACAUUCAUUUAGUAUUAUAAUGCUUUUAAACAGACAUAAUAUUUUCCUCCAUAGUAUCCAUACAUUAUUAUAAUAACUGAUGUUCUAUGAUAUUAUUUUGGCAUGAUUGAUGGAGCACAAUCGACUUUCCUUCAACUGUUUACAUUUUGAAUACAUGCAUUAUCUAAUAUGUAGUCUCUUCGAAGAAACCCACCGCCAUUAUUAACCAUAUAUAAUCUGAAAAAAAAAACAAUUAGAGAUUAAUAUUGGUAACAAAAUAAAUUUAAAAAAGAACAUUGUUAUAGAAAUAAAUUAUCUAUUAAAAAGAAAGUUAAAAGAACUGACCAAUUUUGUAAGAUAUUUUUUAAUGAGGUGGAGCUUAAUUAUUGGAUGAAUGAGGUGAUGGAGAUAGAGGAGGCGGGGAUUUAAAGAAAAAGGGAGGCAAAAAGAACCAUGGAGGAGGUGGAGAUUUCAGGGUACGUGGAGGGGAAGA
rnacentral:lncRNA from 1 species